rnacentral:rRNA from 1 species
UACGGAGGGGACUAGCGUUAAUCGGAAUUACUGGGCGUAAAGCGCGCGUAGGCGGCUCGGUCAGUCGGGUGUGAAAUCCCUGGGCUCAACCUGGGAACUGCAUUCGAUACUGCUCGGCUCGAAGACAGGAGAGGGAAGUGGAAUUCCCGGUGUAGUGGUGAAAUGCGUAGAUAUCUGGAGGAACACCGGUGGCGAAGGCGGCAUCCUGGACCGGUAUUGACGCUGAGGCGCGAAAGCCAGGGGAGCAAACGGG